CGCGCGGCGCGGGCUGGGCGGGGAAAAGGAACCUCGGAGCCAGUGCGCAGGCGUGAGAGUCCCUGCUGGCUACUUAAGGGAGGCUCGCGGGCUGGUCUUUCUUUCGCGUCUGCGGCGCUCUUUGUUGUUCGUCGUCUGCUCUCUUGCUCCUCAUCCGAUGUCGUCUCAACCCUGGAAUCAGAAUUUACUACUGUAUGUGAUUUGCGUGAUCAGACGCUACAGAAUGAAUCUUGGUGGAGGGGUCCCUGCUGGGGCUCCAAGAGAACCACGUGUCGACAGGCAAAACCUUCAGCUUCCUGACCUCUGGAGCUCACUGUUGGCAGCAAACAGGCAUUGAAUGGACCAUGAUGGAUCCAGGAUUGGGAGAGAAUUUGGCCAGAGCCCUGUGUACAUCAGGGCCUACGUAGGUUGAUGGCGGCCUGGUUUCAGUUUGGUUCAGUUUUGUAACAGGAAUUUCAGCUGUGGAGUCAUGCAAGGCCUCUUGAGAAAGAUUUACGUUUACUUCUGAGAGCAUAAAGGUUUGGGUUGUUGUGUAACCUGAGUGUCCAGAGGUGAAAAGCUUGUGGCUCUUUUGAAGAAUGAAAUAUUACAUUUUGGUUAGUAAGUGUUUAACUGUAGCCUUCCUGUCUGGAGAAAUAAAAUAAAAUGCUUUAAAUGAAAA